AUUUCCUCACUUUGUGAUUUGAACUGAUUUGUGUGCUUCGAUUAUUUGCCUAGCUUGAAUCUUUUAGCAAAAAUAUAGUUUAGAAUAAAAGUUUACUUUUGAUUAUGUACGCGAGUCCUAUUGCGCUUAAUUAACUUUCUCUGAAUAUUUAUUUGCAACUAAAAACUCCAUGUUGACGUGCUCUGUUUGUUGCUGUGCAUAUUUGUUAGUGGAUAAUAUAAAUCCAAUAUUUUUUUCGGUGAUAUUGUACAUUUAAAAAAAAAAGUGUGUAGUGACUUAUAUAAAAAUUCAAAUGAUAAUAGUUAAUGUGUUAUCGAUGAGCGAUCUUGGCGUUUGUGUCCGAACUUGUCGGAAUGAUGUUGAUUAUCAGUGCCUUAAUAACUGGGAUGGUGACCGGUCUUCAGAACAUUACGACCGAGUCUCCAUCGAUGAUCAGUGACAUCACAACAUCAUUGAAUACGAAGAAUAAAGUUCCAGAAAUGGGGCUGGUUGAACCCACUAAGCUAUCUCUACCCACUAGUGACAUGGUGAAUGUCAGUAUUCACGACCAGCCGUCUAUGUGGGAUUUGUACUUGCACCACUGUUCCAAGUGGAGGCCAAUAAAUCACAUAUUUUUCCAAGUGGCGAAUAUAUUCUUUCUUAUGUCAUUCCUGGCACCUCAUACAGACAUUGGGCAAAUAUGGCUUCGGGUGGGCCUGAUGAUGGGGUGCGCGUUUUCAGGAAUGUGGGCAUGGAGUGUUGAAUGUUACUUGGAUGCAGUGCUAUGGAAUAGUGUAUUUAUAUUGAUAAACUUUGUGUAUUUCUCUUACCAGUUUUAUUUAAUGAGACCAAUUAAGUUCCACAAGGAGAUUGAAGAGGUGUACUUAGCGUUGUUCAAACCACUACGGGUAUCAAGGAGACAGUUCCGCCGAGUGCUCAUGUGCAUGAGAAAUGUGAGGCACCUCAAGUGUCACGAACUCUAUGCACAUGAGAAGGUUACUAAAGUUGACAGCCUUUCGUUGGUGCUUUCGGGCAAGCUUGUGGUGUCACAGAAUCAGCGAGCUCUCCAUAUAGUGUUUCCUCAUCAUUUCUUGGACUCUCCCGAGUGGUUCGGCGUUUCGACUGACGAUUAUUUUCAGGUGUCUAUAAUGGCGAUGGAAGAGUCUAGGGUGCUGGUCUGGCAUAGAGAUAAGCUGAAACUAUCAAUAAUGUCGGACGCUUUCCUGCAAGCGGUCUUCGAUCAUAUCCUCGGACGGGACGUGGUUCACAAAUUGAUGCAGGUAAGCGAAACGAUGGCAGUCAGCAACGGUCACCUCCCUAACAGCUAUGAAGAGGGAGAGGACAAGCCGAUGCUGGUCGUGAAGAAAGCUGGCGAUGGACCUGGAAUCACCGCGAUACUCAACAGGCAGCUUCAAGGCGAGCAUGCGCCGUUACUGCGAGCCACGCCGACGACUCAUGAAUGCUGAAGCUGCCCAGCAACCUCCCAUCGCUCCCAAUACAUUUUACAAUUCACUGCUAUCUCCUUACAUUUCGAUUUAUCCUUUUGUUUCCUACCUACCAGUAUCCUCAAGGAGCUAUUCUCGUUUUACCCUAAAAUAUUCUAUAUCCACCCAACUUCUUCGAACACCAUUAUUCCUAAAAAAAAACUAUCAUGUAUAUUUUUUACUACAUUAUUCUUUUUUUAUAUAAACAUAGACAAUAAAUCCAAAAUUAUAGACAAGUAUGAACACUAGCAUAGAUUUUCAGUCUAUACUCGCCAAGUUUGACCUUGAGAUUUCUAACAAGUAAUAAUAUAUACCAAAAUAGCAAAGUAAUGUAUUUUUAUUCUUCGAUAACAAAAUGUACUUUCUUGCUAUAAUUUAAAUGUCGCGUGAAUUGUAAAAUGUACCAUUACAUCCUUUCUAUCCCAAUUGGAAGAAUAUGUAUAAUCUAAAAAAAAAAACAAUUAUUCAAUAAUUCGUUGCAGCUUUUACACUAUGUCACUAGACUAAUAUACCACCUGAUCUCAACCAUACUACCUGAUAUACUAUUUGGCCAUAAUAUAUUAUACUAUCUAUGAGAAUGGAAAUGGAAACUGGGCACCUGUGGGCCUACCAAAAGCCUUUAAUUCUCUGCGCUAUGUACCGUAUGUUCCAUGGGGAGUAGGUGUUCUGAGGAACUAUCUGAGAUGGUCCCAUAUGCUAUACCACUGCCAAGAACCUCGGCACCGGAGCAAUGUGAAUCCAUAGUACCUGGAAGCACUGCGUUCGUCCACAGCGCAUUUCCAAAGAACCAUUUGCCCCAUACCAUUCGGCUGCAGAUAGAACUUUCCUGUACGCUGUUUCCUGAGCGUUAUAACUUACAAAUGUAUUUUUUCGAAAGAGGCUUAGCAAUGUCUCUAGAAUUACCGACGGCCAUAAGCGACGGCGUCCACUUGCCGUCAGAUUGAUCGUAUUAUUGUCUAUUUAGAAACAAACACAAUAAUAACUUGAACUUGUAAUUUCCGUUUGCUAGGCUAUCUUUCUAAAUCUAAAUAUUCUGUAACUACGAACUUUGAAUCUUGUUUAGCUUAGCUCUGAGAGAGACAAUGUUAAUCUUAAAUAAAUAUGAUUUAGAGUUCUUUACCACUUUAAAUUAAACGGUUUUUUCUGAAUACAAAAAAUGCCUUUGAAUCCUGGCUAGUGUUUGAAGGCAGAAUAUGGUAUUUAAAUAUAAUUGAAUUUGUGACAUAAAGUCAUAAUUAUUGCAAGCUGCCUUUUCUUGCGCACUAGAAUUUUAGAAUUUUACUACUAAUAAAAGUAUAAAAAUACUCAUUCUUAUCCAUGAUUUUAACUAUUACGAUACCAAGUAUUUUAUAUGUUACCUAAUAUAUUAGCUUAUUAGUUUCGCACAUAUGUAUAUGAUCCCAUAGUCCUAUCCCUUAGUCCGAUCCCCUAGCAUGUUUGGAAGAUCGACAUAUGGAGCAACAGAUCCGAAUGCGUGGCGUCUAGGUCGGAUAGACGAGACGGACCACGAAACGCCCGUCUGAGGAUGCGCGCUGCACGUGUCGGUGCGACCGCUGCGUGCCAAGCCCUGCAGACUUUAGUGUGAAGGCGCCCUUGUUUCAUUCCUUAUAUUCAUUGUGUAGGUACUCGAUUGUGAUGUAUUUAAAAAUUACGUUAAAUGUGUGCGCUUCAAGCUUAACGCGAAAUGUAACUAUUUUUAUUGUACUUUCAUUCAAUUAUAUGUUGAAAUAAAAUCAAUUUUUCUUAAAACAGAUUUCAAUAUUAAAACGGAACUCGCUAAUCGAACUAAAAACGUUCAAAAUUUUACUUAUCGAAUAUUAUUUUUUUUAUAUUUUUUUGGUGCCUUAGAAGUUCCGUGUUAAUAAAGAAAUCGCGAAAAAAUAGUACCGGGUAAAUGGUUUUUUGUUGUAUGAAAUUUGCAACAAUAAUGUUACCUGUUAAAAUACAGGGUGUUCGGAAACUUGCCGUUAUAGGACGAAAACUGAACAGAGUUAUGUUUGUGAUCAGCGGGCUCUGGUAUAAAUACGACUUUUACAUAAAGGUCUUAGUUACCAGGUCAUAAAAUCCAUUAAAAAAAAAAAAGGAUGAAUACGUCAAUUCUAUUGGUGAACCCGAGCCUGUUGAGGCAAAAUGUCUCUUGGUCGUUACAUGACCGUGGAUGAUGAUUAAUGUAAUUUAAUGAUUGCGAUUUUAUGCGUGUUACAACAGGAGUCACUAGCUACCUGUCUUCGGUUUCGGAUAACGGUUCAUUGACCCAGUGUAUUUAAAUGAUGAUUUAUCAUAGUUUUUACCCGACUGCACUAGAGGGUAGUUUUUUUUCGAGUGUUGUAUGUAUAUUUCUUUUGCGCUCUGUAGCUUAUGCGUCUGUAGCUUAUAUACCUCUAGAUACCGUUAGAUUCGUCUUAGUUGUGAAAGCGAGAUACGCUAAUCAUAUAACAACGUCUGUGAAACGAAUGGAGAUUAUUAAUAAUAUAUUUAUUAUAUAUUAAUAAUAUACAACUAUUUCAAAUAACGCAAAGAAAUCCACAUACAAAAAAUAUUUUGAAUAUGAAACCCCCAAGUUAAACAAACAGCCACACUUAAAGGUACUGUUGGUUCUUUUUGUGUACAAAGAAACGUAAAUGUCAAUAGAUAUUUUUUUAUAGUUUAUUAGACGGUAAUUCAAAAAACGACGAAUAAGUCGUCCUUGAACCACUAAAACUAAAGAAACAUCGAGAAUAAUUAAAAUGAAAAGAGUAAAAGCGAUAUUAAAAAUUAUAAAAUGUAUAUAAUAGUGCGUGAAACUUGCACCAGUCGGUUUAUUUUUUAUAAAUAAAUGUUUGGUUUUUUUAUUCAUUAAAAAAUACAUAUCCUUACAGCUGUUCAAGAGUGUUGCAUCGAAAGUAUAUAACGUUCAAUGUCGCAAUGGGUGCUAUCAUAAUAUCACGUACUUUAUUUAAAUUAGUAUACAACAUGAAUAUUAUAUUAUGUAUAUCGAAUCUGAUCUCGUCAAUUGAUUGUCCCAAAUAAAAUAUAGAAUUGUAGUAAAUAUUUUAAAUGUUAAAAGUGUAUCACUCAUAAUUCGAAUAGACAACUUCAGUUAAACGGGACAUAAACGCGGAUAAGAAUUUUAUU